UUAAGUUCAGCGGGUAUCCCUACCUGAUCCGAGGUCAACCAUAGAAAAUUGGGGGUUGCUGGCCAGCGGCCACCGGGGCCCAGCAGCGAGAAGAAUUACUACGCUGAGGGACCCAAUGGCGCCGCCACUGUUUUUGAGGCCCGCCGUUGCCGGCGCGGUCCAAGACAAGCGGAGCUUGAGGGUUGAAAUGACGUUCGAAC
rnacentral:misc_RNA from 1 species